ensembl:lncRNA
GAUGGUGGUGUAGAUGAGGCUGGGUCUAGUCAUACUAUAGAUGGUGGUGUAGAUGAGGCUGGGUCUAGUCAUGUUAUAGAUGGUGGUGCAGAAGGCUGGGUCUAGUCAGGCUAUAGAUGGUGGUGCAGAUGAGGCUGGGUCUAGUCAUGUUAUAGAUGGUGGUGUAGAUGAGGCUGGGUCUAGUCAUACUAUAGAUGGUGGUGUAGAUGAGGCUGGGUCUAGUCAUACUAUAGAUGGUGGUGUAGAUGAGGCUGGGUCUAGUCAUGCUAUAGAUGGUGGUGUAGAUGAGGCUGGGUCUAGUCAGGUUAUAGAUGGUGGUGUAGAUGAGGCUGUGUCUAGUCAUACUAUAGUUGGUGGUGUAGAUGAGGCUGGUUCUAGUCAUGUUAUAGAUGGUGGUGUAGAUGAGGCUAGGUCUAGUCAUGUUAUGGUUGGUGGUGUAGAUGAGGCUGGGUCUCGUCAGGUUAUAGAUGGUGGUGUAGAUGAGUCUGGGUCUAGUCAGGUUAUAGAUGGAGGUGUAGAUGAGGCUGGGUCUAGUCAUGUCAUGGAUGGGGGUGUAGAUGAGGCUGGGUCUAGUCAUGCUAUAGAUGGUGGUGUAGAUGAGGCUGGUUCUAGUCAGAUUAUAGAUGGUGGUGUAGAUGAGGCUGGGUCUAGUCAGAUUAUAGAUGGUGGUGUAGAUGAGG